rnacentral:snoRNA from 1 species
CUACUAUGAUGAAACAACUAUUCAGUUCUGCUACCGAGUGUUUCGUGAGCGAUAACCCAACAUACCAAAAAACAUUUUCUGAACC